CUCAGUCCUGCAGCGUGCAACACGUUUGACGAGACAGCCUGUCAUACAUUGUGCUGCCGCCAGCGGCCGCUCGCUUGCAGCUUAAACUAGAAUUACCUUUGCUUUAACUUGUACGAUGGCGACCACAACUCUCGUUCCUUUCGUCGAUUGCCUGAGACGACACUGAGUGUGUGGCGAUCGAUGAGCUUUCCUAUACACCGCCUUUUCACAGCAUAGCAUAUAGCUGCGCGCCUAUGUACGUACAGUGCUCGAGUACUUCGUUUCACUCUAACGCUCAGCACACCAACGCGGCGCCAGGCGUCGCCUCGUUGUACAGUCUGCGCAGUGUUGCGUCGAGCACCUUGCGCCCUUC
rnacentral:lncRNA from 1 species